rnacentral:tRNA from 1 species
GCGAGAGUGGCGGAAUUGGCAGACGCGCUGGACUUAGAAUCCAGUGGGUGAUGAGCCCGUGUGGGUUCAAGUCCCACCUCUCGCACCA